UGAGGAAUAUUGGACAAUGGGUUAGCGCCUGAUCCAGCCAUCCCGCGUGAAGGACGACGGCCCUAUGGGUUGUAAACUUCUUUUGUACAGGGAUAAACCUAUUUACGUGUAAAUAGCUGAAGGUACUGUACGAAUAAGCACCGGCUAACUCCGUG
rnacentral:rRNA from 1 species